GGUGGCUCAGUGUUAGAGCGCUUGCUUUGCAUGCAUGAGGCCCUGGGUUCAAUCCUCAGCACCA
rnacentral:tRNA from 1 species